rnacentral:rRNA from 1 species
CCUACGGGUGGCUGCAGUGAGGAAUAUUGGUCAAUGGGCGCGAGCCUGAACCAGCCAAGUCGCGUGAAGGAUGACUGCCCUACGGGUUGUAAACUUCUUUUAUACAGGAAUAAAGCGAGGCACGUGUGCCUUUUUGUAUGUACUUUAUGAAUAAGGAUCGGCUAACUCCGUGCCAGCAGCCGCGGUAAUACGGAGGAUCCGAGCGUUAUCCGGAUUUAUUGGGUUUAAAGGGAGCGUAGACGGGUUGUUAAGUCAGUUGUGAAAGGUUGCGGCUCAACCGUAAAAUUGCAAUUGAUACUGGCAGUCUUGAGGACAGUUGAGGUAGGCGGAAUGCGUGGUGUAGCGGUGAAAUGCUUAGAGAUCACGAAGAACUCCGAUUGCGAAGGCAGCUUACUAAACUGCCACUGACAUUGAUGCUCGAAAGUGUGGGUAUCAAACAGGAUUAGAUACCCGGGUAGUC